GUAGUCUCUUCGGAGCUACAUAUACUAAAAUUGGAACGAUACAGAGAAGAUUAGCAUGGCCCCUGCGCGAUAGUAAGUUUCCAACUUAUAAUAUUCCCUUUUACUCUUU